AUUGAACGCUGGCGGCAGGCCUAACACAUGCAAGUCGAACGGUAACAGGAAGAAGCUUGCUUCUUUGCUGACGAGUGGCGGACGGGUGAGUAAUGUCUGGGAAACUGCCUGAUGGAGGGGGAUAACUACUGGAAACGGUAGCUAAUACCGCAUAACGUCGCAAGACCAAAGAGGGGGACCUUCGGGCCUCUUGCCAUCGGAUGUGCCCAGAUGGGAUUAGCUAGUAGGUGGGGUAACGGCUCACCUAGGCGACGAUCCCUAGCUGGUCUGAGAGGAUGACCAGCCACACUGGAACUGAGACACGGUCCAGACUCCUACGGGAGGCAGCAGUGGGGAAUAUUGCACAAUGGGCGCAAGCCUGAUGCAGCCAUGCCGCGUGUAUGAAGAAGGCCUUCGGGUUGUAAAGUACUUUCAGCGGGGAGGAAGGGAGUAAAGUUAAUACCUUUGCUCAUUGACGUUACCCGCAGAAGAAGCACCGGCUAACUCCGUGCCAGCAGCCGCGGUAAUACGGAGGGUGCAAGCGUUAAUCGGAAUUACUGGGCGUAAAGCGCACGCAGGCGGUUUGUUAAGUCAGAUGUGAAAUCCCCGGGCUCAACCUGGGAACUGCAUCUGAUACUGGCAAGCUUGAGUCUCGUAGAGGGGGGUAGAAUUCCAGGUGUAGCGGUGAAAUGCGUAGAGAUCUGGAGGAAUACCGGUGGCGAAGGCGGCCCCCUGGACGAAGACUGACGCUCAGGUGCGAAAGCGUGGGGAGCAAACAGGAUUAGAUACCUUGGUAGUCCACGCCGUAAACGAUGUCGACUUGGAGGUUGUGCCCUUGAGGCGUGGCUUCCGGAGCUAACGCGUUAAGUCGACCGCCUGGGGAGUACGGCCGCAAGGUUAAAACUCAAAUGAAUUGACGGGGGCCCGCACAAGCGGUGGAGCAUGUGGUUUAAUUCGAUGCAACGCGAAGAACCUUACCUGGUCUUGACAUCCACGGAAGUUUUCAGAGAUGAGAAUGUGCCUUCGGGAACCGUGAGACAGGUGCUGCAUGGCUGUCGUCAGCUCGUGUUGUGAAAUGUUGGGUUAAGUCCCGCAACGAGCGCAACCCUUAUCCUUUGUUGCCAGCGGUCCGGCCGGGAACUCAAAGGAGACUGCCAGUGAUAAACUGGAGGAAGGUGGGGAUGACGUCAAGUCAUCAUGGCCCUUACGACCAGGGCUACACACGUGCUACAAUGGCGCAUACAAAGAGAAGCGACCUCGCGAGAGCAAGCGGACCUCAUAAAGUGCGUCGUAGUCCGGAUUGGAGUCUGCAACUCGACUCCAUGAAGUCGGAAUCGCUAGUAAUCGUGGAUCAGAAUGCCACGGUGAAUACGUUCCCGGGCCUUGUACACACCGCCCGUCACACCAUGGGAGUGGGUUGCAAAAGAAGUAGGUAGCUUAACCUUCGGGAGGGCGCUUACCACUUUGUGAUUCAUGACUGGGGUGAAGUCGUAACAAGGUAACCGUAGGGGAACC
rnacentral:rRNA from 1 species